CCUGACUGCUAUCGGAUUGAUACUAAGCCAUGCGAGUCAUUGUAGCAAUACAAGGCAGACGGCUCAGUAACGCGUAGUCAAUCUACCCUAUGGACGGGAAUAACCUCGGGAAACUGAGAAUAAUGCCCGAUAGAACAUUAUACCUGGAACGGUUUAUGUUUCAAAUGAUUUAUCGCCGUAGGAUGGGACUGCGGCCUAUCAGUUUGUUGGUGAGGUAAUGGCCCACCAAGACUAUUACAGGUACGGGCUCUGAGAGGAGUAGCCCGGAGAUGGGUACUGAGACACGGACCCAGGCCCUAUGGGGCGCAGCAGGCGAGAAAACUUUGCAAUGUGCGAAAGCACGACAAGGUUAAUCCGAGUGGUUUCUGCUAAAGAAACCUUUUGCUAGUCCUAGAAACACUAGUGAAUAAGGGGUGGGCAAGUUCUGGUGUCCAG
rnacentral:rRNA from 1 species